GACGAACGCUGGCGGCGUGCUUAACACAUGCAAGUCGAACGGAAAGGCCCUGCUUUUGUGGGGUGCUCGAGUGGCGAACGGGUGAGUAACACGUGAGUAACCUGCCCUUGACUUUGGGAUAACUUCAGGAAACUGGGGCUAAUACCGGAUAGGAGCUCCUGCUGCAUGGUGGGGGUUGGAAAGUUUCGGCGGUUGGGGAUGGACUCGCGGCUUAUCAGCUUGUUGGUGGGGUAGUGGCUUACCAAGGCUUUGACGGGUAGCCGGCCUGAGAGGGUGACCGGCCACAUUGGGACUGAGAUACGGCCCAGACUCCUACGGGAGGCAGCAGUGGGGAAUAUUGCACAAGGGGCGGAAGCCUGAUGCAGCAACGCCGCGUGCGGGAUGACGGCCUUCGGGUUGUAAACCGCUUUCGCCUGUGACGAAGCGUGAGUGACGGUAAUGGGUAAAGAAACACCGGCUAACUACGU
rnacentral:rRNA from 1 species